rnacentral:rRNA from 1 species
UCGGGUUGUAAAGCACUUUUGUCCGGAAAGAAAACUUCUGCCCUUAAUACGGUGGGAGGAUGACGGUACCGGAAGAAUAAGCACCGGCAACUACGUGCCAGCAGCCGCGGUAAUACGUAGGGUGCGAGCGUUAAUCGGAAUUACUGGGCGUAAAGCGUGCGCAGGCGGUUCGUUAAGACAGAUGUGAAAUCCCCGGGCUUAACCUGGGAACUGCAUUUGUGACUGGCGAGCUAGAGUAUGGCAGAGGGGGGUAGAAUUCCACGUGUAGCAGUGAAAUGCGUAGAGAUGUGGAGGAAUACCGAUGGCGAAGGCAGCCCCCUGGGCCAAUACUGACGCUCAUGCACGAAAGCGUGGGGAGCAAACAGGAUUAGAUACCCUGGUAGUCCACGCCCUAAACGAUGUCAACUAGUUGUUGGGUCUUCAUUGACUUAGUAACGUAGCUAACGCGUGAAGUUGACCGCCUGGGGAGUACGGUCGCAAGAUUAAAACUCAAAGGAAUUGACGGGGACCCGCACAAGCGGUGGAUGAUGUGGAUUAAUUCGAUGCAACGCGAAAAACCUUACCUACCCUUGACAUGGUCGGAACCUGGCUG